AUUUUUUAUAUUCAUAUCUUUGCCCUUAUUUUAAAUAUUUUGACUCAACAAUUAAUGUAUUACAAACUUUAUAUAACACUGCAGUAAAUAACACUAAUUGUAUACGUCAAUAAUUAUUAUUGUAAUAGACAAAAUGAUUCUAUUUUUAAUAGUAGCCCCUCAAUUUUUCUUAAUAAAUAAUUUUCUAUGGAUUUAUUUUUUAACGUUUGUUAGUUUCAUAUGUAUACCUUAUAAGAGUGCCAGUUAAAUUUUUUUAAAUGGUAACAUAUAUAUUUAACAUGUAAUGGUACAGUUUAGAUGAAAUGUUGUAAAUGUACUAUUAUUGUAUGAUUACUCGUAUUAUUGUAUAAUAUGCGGCAACAUCGUGUGGGACUUUUGCAUUCGCGUUAUGUGGUGGCGGCGCUGGAAAAAUGUUGUCAUGCCUAACAAAGUGAUAAGAAGAUAAAAUAAUUGGUUGGUUAUGUUUUAAAAAAGAAAUUAAAUACGUAAUGAUAUCUAUGUAUUAAAAAAAUGAACACUUUUGUUUUUCGUUUUCUCUCUAAAUAAAAAACUAACAAGUAACAAUAAGAUUUUUCAUGAUGAAUUAAAUGGAAAUAUCAACAAACUAUGUUUGAGAGAACAGCGAAAAAAUACGCACGAAUAUCAACUAUAUUUGAACUCCUACAUCAAUGAACACUGCAUCACCAGUACAACUGAAAUUAAGAUAUUUAAAAAUGAUAUGUAAAGACUGUUAUGGCACUUCCAAAAUACCACAAUAUUAUUUUGACUAAGAUACGAUUAAGAUAGUGUUUUUAAAGAAUUACAAUGUGCGAAAAAAAUAUAUGAAAUGUAUGUGAUUAUAUCAUAUUAAAUAAAAUAAAAUAAAGUAUGAAAAAAUUGAAAAACAUCGUCAUCUAGCUUUAUUUUUUUAUCAUCAAGAAUGAACAACUAUUAAACAAUCAAAUUCUGCAACUUUGAUACCACAAACUUUACAAAUAAAACUGACCCAUCUGAUGAAAAAAUACUGUCUCCAAAUUCUUUUACUUAUAUGUAAAUAUAAUAUUUUUUAGCUCGUAUGAUUAAAUCAUUCUAGUGAAAACAUGACGACUGUUUAACUUUUGGCGUUCUAUGAGCCAUUAAAUUCCCAAGAAAUAUAAUUUAUUAACUUUAAAACUACGCAGCGUAAAAAUAAACAAAACUCACAACAUUGGAGAAUCACUAACUGAUUUUUACUUCAAAUUUAUUUGAUAAUCAUGCUACAGACAAUAUUGAUUAUUUUAUACUAUUAUUGUAUUUUAAAUUAUACAUAUAUUAUACAUAUACUGUAAAAUGUCAUUGAUAGCUUUAUUAUUGAGAUCGUUUGUAAUAAGGGUAAUACUUCCUUAAAAUUUUACAAAAGUGUAUUGUAAAGUUAUUUAUUAAUAAUAAUUUUUUGUUUACUAAGAAAUAAUUAAGUAUAUACUUCAUGUAUGAACGCAGCGCCUGUUGGUACUCACGCGGGUUCGUUAACGUUCAUUUUUUUAUUUUGUCUUAAGUCAGGCUAUGUCGAGAAAAAUGAAUAAGGUUAGUGGACUGUAUAAAUUACUGUAGAAUGAAUUUUACAAUCAUAUAACAAUUAAAUGUAUUAUACAUGAAUCAUAAAAUCUUAAAUACACCAAUGUGGAUAGGGAGACACUUAAUACUAAUGCCAAAAUGACGCUGAUAUAAACAAAUAAUAAAUUAUAAAUGUGAAUAAGUCUUAGAAAGAAGAUGAACAAGCAUUAUACUUAUCGGCUAAUUGAAACGGCUGAUGAUAAUGUUGAAUAUUGAAAGGAUCAAUUGAAGUCGAAUUCAAGUAGCUGACCAACGUUUACAAUAAGCUGUGAGCGGUUCUGUGAUUUAUCUCAGGAAAUAUAUAGACUCAACGGAAAUAUACUGAGUGUACAAGGUGUGACAAUCGCAAAGGUGAUAUUUUUCAUUUUACAAUAAAAAGAAUACAAAAACUACUGGCUCUCAAAGGCCAUAGAGCUUAUAACGUGCUAAGAUGGCGGCGACAAUGCAGACAUAGAGAGAAGACCGACAAUAACUCAAUGUAGUAAAACGAUAGCAUAAAUAACCACCACACAAUUACUCGACAGCACCAUUCACCGAUGUGUAUCCAACACUUCUAAUAUGUCUAAUUUAAAUUAAAAAAUGAAUUUUUGUCUACUAUAACCUCCCCAAAAAAUCAUCAUAUUUGCAGGUAUACAGCUUUGUUAUUAUUAAUGGCGGUAAGGAACAUUGUUGUGAGUUUAUUAUUACACUAACUGACAAUAUAAAAAGUAUAUCUUUUGAUAGUCAUAAUUGAUAAUAAACAAACUGUGACUGUGACAGCAAUGUCAUAAAAAAUCAAUUAGCUACCUGCUUUUGUAAUCUCUUGUCUAUUAUACAUGUAUAUUAACUCAAAAAUUUGAAUCUUUAAAUGUUUAUAUCUAAUAAACGAAUAAAGAUAUAUUAAAAAUUCAAAUGCUAUUUACUAUUAAAUUAAAAACUCAAACAUUUUAUUAAACUCAAAAUAUGUGUUUCCAUUUAAAAAAACAAAGUUGACACCCUUACUAAUUCAAGAAUAAUGUAUAAUUAAAGAUAACCAAAAAAAAAAAAAAAGUUUAAAUUAUAUUUAUCCUGUAAGAAAUUGAGUGGGUUAUGAUAAAAAAAUCACUCUGUAUAUUAAAGUAGAAAUAUUUGAAUCAAACGAUAUUUUUCUUAACCAAAAUUAAAUAAUUUAAAUUUUU